CAGAGCUCAGAGCCACAAAGUCCCAGAGUUGGAAGAGACUGCAGGCUAUCCAUCCUUACCCCCCAUAGAUGCGAGUUACAACUGCAACACCAAGCCAACGGGCCAUGAAACCUCUCCGGGAACAGUGUGGAGAACCUGCAAGGAAGGCAAGAGAUGGAUAUGGGAAGACCAGCAGGUUGCAGUGGUUUUCAUGGGUCAUGUUUAUCUCCUCUCUAUGAACCCUACUGUGUCAAUUUCCCUCUUUAAGCAUGAUGCCAGAAUGGAAUGACAUGCCAUAGGUGUGAAUUGACCAGCACAGAAUUCCAUAAGAUAAUUAAUUAUUGUAGAUACCACUCUUCUGUGAUUGCUGCCUGGGAUGACAAUAGCUUUAAGUGACAUAUCACUCUGCUGCUUCAUAUGGAGCUCAUUAUCAACAUAAAUUCUGGGGUCACUUUCUCUUUUACUGUGGCCAAAUACUGGUUCCCUCAUCUGAUAUUUAGAUAUUCAGUUCUUGCUACCAAAAUGCAGAAAUCUCCAUUCCUUCUUGUUAAAUGUCAUUUUGUUAGCUCUGCCCAUUCAUCUAGUCCAACAGAAUUAUUUGGGAUCCUGUGUGCUCUGUCAACAUAUUUUUAUCUUGCCUAGCUUUGCAACAUCUGCACAUUGGACUAUCAUUCCAAUGAUGCUUUUAUUUGAGUCCUUGAUAAAGUUUUUGAACAUGCCAAAGGGUGAGAGGGUAGAAUAUGCCAUUUAUAAAUUCAAGUGAUAAAACUGCUUCACAAGUCAAUAUUUUGCCAUGAUGUUCAGAAAUAACAGAAGAAUCUUUUUUUCAAACAGCAUGUUGAAAUCUGGACAAACUAUGGCAUCGCCCAGGGACACUUUCCAAACGAAAGAAUGUGCUUCAUUUGACAAAAGCUGUUUUUGACCUACUACACUGAAGAAGGCAUAGAGUUCUGUUUAUCUUGUUCCCUCCUCUAUUCCCAGGACCCAGCACAGAGCCUGGCACACAGUAGACUUUUCUCUGAUUGCUAUGAUGUCUCAUCGAUUACCAGCAGAUCAGCCAUACAGGAGUGGGAGUAGCAGCUAACAAUGACUGAGCACCUGACAGGCUCCAGGCUGAGUGCUCGGAAUAGACAGAAUCUUAUUGACACCCUUCAACAAUCCUAUGAAGCAGGCCCUGUUCUGAUCUCAUUACCUCUGCCCUUCCUGGUUCCUACUCCAUGAAAGAGCAUCGGAAGAUACCAACGUCAGAAAUGGCAAGUCCAGACACAGACCAAGUUCCGGGAUGCUUCUCCUGCUGCUCCUGUCAGCAUCUCCGCCACAGCCUCUUCCUGCUGCCCCAGGGACACGCCUGACUUUGAUGGACUGAAAGUAAUGCCCCAGCUUUACUGUGCCCUGGGCUGGGACUGCCACAGGGGCAAUGAGGUUUUCCUCCUGUGGUCGCCUUCCUGUUUACCUGACUGACUCAUGGGAGGUGACAGGCCAGCCUGGGGCUGGGAGUGGGGGCUGCCCCAGAUCUUACAGAAUGCCACGAGAGAGGAGCCUGCUCCUAAAUGGACUUAACUGGUCUGUUUUUUCAGAGCUCAGCAAUGUGGCCUGAUAAAGGACACAGUGAGGCCCCCAACAGGGCAGAAAGGAAAGGCAGGGAGAGAACCGUUUUUUGCCUAGAGCUCCAUCAUAUCGUAGAGAAAGAGUGCAUUCUCCUAGGGGAAUGCAAGGCACGCUCUGUCCUUGAGUUGCUAUUUCCCCAGAGAACAGGGGUGAGGCCAGACAAGCCAUGGAGGGUGGAGUGCCAGUUGUGUCAUCACAGGCUUGCAGCUCCCUGACCACGGCACCCACACCCACUUUCGGGAGCCCACGGCUGGGUGGCUGAAAGGGGAAUCCCUAGUGGGACCUUGCCUUGUCUUAGGCAAACUCAGGAAGGACACCUGGUGAGUGCGGGCCAUGUGUUCAGGGCGGAGCCAAGAAGGCAGAGAACAAUGUUUUUACUCAUGGGAUGAGCCCUCCCCCUUCUCCAUCCUCCCUGUUGUCCCCUCCAAACAGCCUCAUCUCAUUAAGCAAAGACCCCAGACUUUUCACUGAAGGGGGAAAGCUGGCUAUAGUCCCAAAGUGUGGCAACAUCUACCUUGCGGGCAGGAGUGGAGAAGGUAGGGAGCUUCCUGAGAACGCAGAAGCCCUCAGGCUCCAGCCCAGAAG